rnacentral:misc_RNA from 1 species
UCUCGGAUUGUCAAUCCAACGGUCCGAUCACCGAAAAUCUCAUCAGAAAGUAAAAAAAAAUUGAUUUUCUCUCUCUAAAGUUCUCUCUCCUCCAGCCACCAAACGGAGCACCGUUGAUCCCAUUUGAAAGGUCACACUCUCAGGAGUCUCCAGCAACUUGAAUCACCGAAAAAGGUUGCCAGAAUAGGAAGAUAUGGCCGUUUGAAGUUUUGGGUCUCAUUUCUCUCUCUUCAUGUUCCCUUGCCG